rnacentral:misc_RNA from 1 species
AAGUCGUAACAAGGUUUCCGUAGGUGAACCUGCGGAAGGAUCAUCAGAAAUGUGAUUAUUUGUUGGAUGGACAUGAUUUGAAAGCGUUGGCGGAGGAGAGAGUGGCGCGUCGGGCAACCGGCCGCAGCUUGAACCUCGCUGGCACACACUACCCCCACAUAUUCACCCUUUAGCCAGAACCUUGUAUUAAAGAACACAACUUUCAACAAUGGAUCUCUUGGCUCUUGC